rnacentral:rRNA from 1 species
AGUAAUGCGUGACCAACCUGCCCCAUGCUCCAGAAUAGCUCUUGGAAACGGGUGGUAAUGCUGGAUGCUCCAACUUGACGCAUGUCUUGUUGGGAAAGUGUUUAGUGGCAUGGGAUGGGGUCGCGUCCUAUCAGCUUGUAGGCGGGGUAAUGGCCCACCUAGGCUUCGACUGGUAGCCGGCCUGAGAAGGCGGACGGCCACAUUGGGACUGAGAUACGGCCCAGACUCCUACGGGAGGCAGCAGCA